GCUUUAACAUAUCUUUUAUUAUUUGCACUUUCCAGAGUUGAGCAGCUGGCUGAGGGCAUUAUGAAAGACAUAGGAUGCUGUGGCAUUAUGGUCCUGAGUGUCCUUAAAGGAGGUCACAAACUGUGUGCCGACCUCGUAGAACACCUUGAGAACAUCAGCCAGCAUUCAGACAGAUGCGUUUCUACCAAGGUUGAUCUCAUCAGACUGAAGAGUUACAAGCCACGUAACGUCUCACAUGAAAACCGAUCGGACAAAACAACUAAACACCGAAAAGGAAGUCCUCGUGCUUAUCUUGUCAUGGGCCUAAGAAGACUGACGGUGUGCCAGGGUCUCACUCAAAGCCAAAGUGAUAUCUCACUAAUGUCAGUCUAAUACGCCUUAAAUGAAGGUACCUUUCGAUUAUGAGUCAUCUUUGUAUGUAUGUAUGUAUGAGUCAUCUUUGU
rnacentral:lncRNA from 1 species